UGUCACGUGUUCUUCACUGUCAGAUGACGUCACUCACUUCCACGUCAGCUCCUCAUCCACUUCUCAUUAGUCUGACUAACUUUAAUCAUAGGUUAAGAAAACAAUGUAUUGUUGAUAACAUUGCAAUCUUUGUAUGAUUAUAGUGAUCUUCUUAUAAGGUUGUUAUGUGUUUUAGUUUUUGAUCUUUCUCCACAUUUUUUUCCUUUUCUAACUCUAUUGAUGAAAACUUUAUAAUAAUUUCGCUUACAUUGUUGUUACCCACAUGGAGAGAUGGAUGAUGGAUGGGCCAACAAACAAAUCCUCUGAUAUUUUUUGCUUGGU